rfam:Betaproteobacteria bacterium RIFCSPLOWO2_02_FTLL_67_19 rifcsplowo2_02_scaffold_37544, whole genome shotgun sequence.
GCGCCCGUAGCUCAGUUGGAUAGAGUACUUGGCUACGAACCAAGGGGUCGUGGG